AUACUUACCUGGCAGGGGCAACACCAUGAUCAAGAAGGUGGUUUGCCCAAAGUGAGAUCUAGCCAUUGUACUCAGGUUGUGCUGACCUUUGUGAAUUCCUCAAAUGCAGGAAUCUCAACUGUGUAAUUUUCGGUAGUGGGGGACUGCAUUUGCGCUCUCCCCUU